rnacentral:rRNA from 1 species
AGUGAACGCUGGCGGUAGGCCUAACACAUGCAAGUCGAACUGCAGCACAGUAAGAGCUUACUCUUACUGGUGGCGAGUUGCGGACGGGUGCUGACUACAUCGGAAUCUACUUUUACGUGGAGGCUAACGUCUGGUAACUUACGCUAAUACCGCAUACUACUUACGGGUGAUAUCAGGGGAUCUUCGGACCUUGCGCGAUUGUAUGAGCCGUUGUCGGAUUAGGUAGUCGGAGGGGUAAAGGCCCACCAAGGCGACGAAACGUAGCUGGUCUGAGAGGAUGAGCAGCCAGACUGGGACGGAGACACGGCACAGAGUCACACGGGAGGCAGCAGUGGGGAAUAGUGGACAAUGAGCGCAAGACAGAUCAAGACAGACCGAGAGGGUGAAGAAGGAAUUCGGGUUGUAAAGCGCUUUUGUUGGGAAAGAAAAGCAGUAGGAGAAUACAAGGAAGAUAUGACGGUACCAAAAGAAGAAGCAACGGCUAAAUUCGUG